GCACCCACAAAAGCCAAAGAGAAAAAAGCAGAGACCCUGGAGAGACAAUUUUCAGUCUUGUAUUUGGCCUGGGCCUGAGGAUGCUAUGGAAGAAAUACUAGAGAACAAGAUACUACAUAACUAGAAGAAAUUGGGAGGGAGACAGAAUGGAAGUGGAAAAAGAUAUUUUUUAAGUAAACUAUUGACUAUAGUUUGUUCUACUGUGGCGGCAAGCUGUGUUAUGUUAGUGCUCCUCCUUGCCUUGGAAGGGCUAUCCAGGACUGUGACGGGGAUCUAAGUUCUGCUGCUCCAGGAAUUGUAUUAUGGCAUUAUUUUAAAGGUGUUUCGAGGGGUUUUGUGGAGAGCUCAGGCGAGUUGCUGCCUUUUCUCUGCCAUCUUUCAAGCUCUCAUUCUAAAAGCCUCCCCAGCCUUUAGAAGCAAGCACCCUGAUCAGUCAGCCACCAUCAACAUCAAGUUAAGACCCUCCACCAGCAAAAAGAUUAUGACUCGCUGUAGUGGCAGAUGAUAGCAUUUCUUAGCCAUAAAGUAUUUUUAAUUAAGCCUAAUGGGGAGUGACUCUAGCAGAGAACUCCAGACCGGGUAGCAAAGGAAGAUAAUACCAUGUCAAACCAGAGAGAUUAUAUCCCUGUAGCAAUGUAUUAGCUUCUUCCCACAUGUAAUGGAAGACUUCUCCAGAAAGAGAACAGUACAAGUUUACUGGGUGAUGAAGGCUCCUUGUCCCUGCAUCAUUUUUCUCCACCCCACCUCCAGCCUCACCCGUGAAGGUUGGCAGCAUCUCCUGGUAGAGGCUUGGACUGAGAGCCAGAGGACUUGGGUCUGAAUCUUGGGUCAGCACUUGUUGCCUUUUUGACCUUGGGAAUCUGAAGAGAAUCUAGAGCAAGCUUGUUCUUUCUUGAAGCUGAAAUCCAGAAGACUAGAAUCUCUCUUCUCUUAAGUUCUCAUCAACUUCACUCCCCCCAAGCAGGCAUGGAAUAAUGGGAUGGGCACAGCAGGAGAUGGAAGACUUGAAGUCAAAGAGAAGGUUGCUCAUCUUUGCACUAGAGGUUCUCCAUAUCCCAGGGGUAGACCAAGGAUAAGAGUGUUCCAUGACACUAGUUGAAACCUCCCCAGCUGAAAAGUGAGAAGAGGGAUCAUCCUGGAGAUUCUCAUUCAGGGAAGAUACAGGGGCAUCAGAUGAGUUGAGAGUCUAUUAUCAGUGAUACAGGGAGAUAUGGACUAAUUGAUUACCAACUUCAGCUUUCUGGAAUCAGAAGACUGUUCAAGUAACGGGUCCUGCCUUUUUUGCCUUUGUGUUUUUGAGGAAGUCACUUAAACUCUCAAGGACUCAAUUUCUUCAUCUACACAAUGAUUGGAUGGGACUAAAUGACCACAAAGAUCUCUUCUAGUUCUAAAUCUAUCAUGCCAUAUAUCUAAAAAAUGGGACUUUGUUUCUCUUCUUCAGGUUAACUAAUGAAUCCCCAAUUUUAAAACAUAUAUUUAUUUUUCAUAGCUCCAUGAUGAUUAUCAAAUGACAUACAUUUUUACUAGUUUUAGUAUUCUUUAUACAAAUGCAGAUUUCAACCCCUGUGUGCUUCAUAGAUAAUUCUUCAUGAGCUGAGACCAAAAUCACUGUAAGGUGACUGUUCUGUUGGUGAUGAACCUAGCUGAACUUGUCUAGACCUUGUAAGACACCCAGUGUAUCAGUAGCCUCAUACUCAAAGCUUUUCUUGUUUGUAGAACUUGUUAGAGCUUGUAUUUGGCCAGCAUGGUUUCAAGAAUACAAUAUUCGUUCUGUAAUAUAAUGAGGGACCAGAAUGGGCCAUUUGGGAGGGGGUUGAGGAUAAUAUAAA